GAUGAACGCUGGCGGCGUGCCUAAUACAUGCAAGUCGAGCGAACAGACGAGGAGCUUGCUCCUCUGACGUUAGCGGCGGACGGGUGAGUAACACGUGGAUAACCUACCUAUAAGACUGGGAUAACUUCGGGAAACCGGAGCUAAUACCGGAUAACAUGUUGAACCGCAUGGUUCAACAGUGAAAGACGGUCUUGCUGUCACUUAUAGAUGGAUCCGCGCCGCAUUAGCUAGUUGGUAAGGUAACGGCUUACCAAGGCAACGAUGCGUAGCCGACCUGAGAGGGUGAUCGGCCACACUGGAACUGAGACACGGUCCAGACUCCUACGGGAGGCAGCAGUAGGGAAUCUUCCGCAAUGGGCGAAAGCCUGACGGAGCAACGCCGCGUGAGUGAAGAAGGUCUUCGGAUCGUAAAACUCUGUUAUUAGGGAAGAACAAAUGUGUAAGUAACUAUGCACGUCUUGACGGUACCUAAUCAGAAAGCCACGGCUAACUACGUGCCAGCAGCCGCGGUAAUACGUAGGUGGCAAGCGUUAUCCGGAAUUAUUGGGCGUAAAGCGCGCGUAGGCGGUUUUUUAAGUCUGAUGUGAAAGCCCACGGCUCAACCGUGGAGGGUCAUUGGAAACUGGAAAACUUGAGUGCAGAAGAGGAAAGUGGAAUUCCAUGU
rnacentral:rRNA from 1 species